rnacentral:rRNA from 1 species
UACGUAGGGGGCAAGCGUUAUCCGGAUUUACUGGGUGUAAAGGGAGCGUAGACGGCAGGGCAAGUCUGGAGUGAAAGGCAGGGGCCCAACCCCCUGGACUGCUCUGGAAACUGUCCGGCUGGAGUGCAGGAGAGGUAAGUGGAAUUCCUAGUGUAGCGGUGAAAUGCGUAGAUAUUAGGAGGAACACCAGUGGCGAAGGCGGCUUACUGGACUGUAACUGACGUUGAGGCUCGAAAGCGUGGGGAGCAAACAGG